rnacentral:rRNA from 1 species
CGGGGGGCAGCAGUAAGGAAUAUUGGUCAAUGGACGCAAGUCUGAACCAGCCAUGCCGCGUGAAGGAUGAAGGCCCUCUGGGUUGUAAACUUCUUUUAUCUGGGACGAAAAACGGGCUUUCUAGCUCACUUGACGGUACCAGAGGAAUAAGCACCGGCUAACUCCGUGCCAGCAGCCGCGGUAAUACGGAGGGUGCAAGCGUUAUCCGGAUUUACUGGGUUUAAAGGGUGCGUAGGUGGGUAGGUAAGUCAGUGGUGAAAUCUUCAAGCUUAACUUGGAAACUGCCAUUGAUACUAUUUAUCUUGAAUUCUUUGGAGGUAAGCGGAAUAUGUCAUGUAGCGGUGAAAUGCUUAGAUAUGACAUAGAACACCAAUUGCGAAGGCAGCUUACUACACAGUUAUUGACACUGAGGCACGAAAGCGUGGGGAUCAAACAGGAUUAGAUACCCCAGU